rfam:Eucalyptus grandis cultivar BRASTZ1 unplaced genomic scaffold scaffold_1, whole genome shotgun sequence.
UCACUUACCUGGACGGGGUCAAUGGGCUAUCAAGAAGGCUCAUGGCCUGGGCCUAGUGACCUCCAUUGCACUUCGGGAGGGGUGCUAGCCCAAGGUCGGUCCAAGUGGCCGAGCCUACGUCAUAAUUUGUGGCAGUGGGGGCCUGCGUUCGCGCGGCCCCUAC